rnacentral:rRNA from 1 species
GCGAGAAAACUUUGCAAUGCGCGAAAGCUCGACAAGGUUAAUCUGAGUGGUUCCUGCUAAAGGAACCUUUUGUUAGUCGUAGAACCACUGAUGAAUAAGGGGUGGGCAAGUUCUGGUGUCAGCCGCCGCGGUAAAACCAGCACCUCAAGUGGUCAGGAUGAUUAUUGGGCCUAAAGCAUCCGUAGCCUGUUCUGUAAGUUUUCGGUUAAAUCUAUGCGCUCAACGUAUAGGCUGCCGAAAAUACUGCAGAACUAGGGAGUGGGAGAGGUAGACGGUACUCGGUAGGAAGGGGUAAAAUCCUUUGAUCUAUUGAUGACCACCUGUGGCGAAGGCGGUCUACCAGAACACGUUCGACGGUGAGGGAUGAAAGCUGGGGGAGCAAACCGG